rnacentral:rRNA from 1 species
UACAGAGGGGGCAAGCGUUAUUCGGAAUCAUUGGGCGUAAAGGGCGCGUAGGUGGUUCUGUAUGUCUACCGUGAAAGCAUACAGCUCAACUGUAUUUUGUCGGUAGAAACUGCAGGACUUGAGGCUGGGAGGGGCUGGUGGAAUUCCCUGUGUAGCGGUGAAAUGCGUAGAUAUCGGGAGGAACACCAGUGGCGAAGGCGACUUCCUGGCCUGUUCUUGACGCUGAGGCGCGAAAGCUAGGGUAGCAAACGGG